rnacentral:rRNA from 1 species
UGCGUAGGCGGCGCGCUAAGUCAGUGGUGAAAGCCUCCCGCUCAACGGGAGAAAUGCCAUUGAUACUGGCGUGCUUGAGUACGGACGAGGUAGGCGGAAUUUAUGGUGUAACGGUGAAAUGCAUAGAUACCAUAAAGAACACCGAUAGCGUAGGCAGCUUACUAGACCGUAACUGACGCUGAGGCACGAAAGCGUGGGGAGCGAACAGGAUUAGAUACCCUGGUAGUCC